CAGCCUGAGAAACGGCUACCACAUCCACGGAAGGCAGCAGGUGCGCAAAUUACCCAAUCCUGACUCAGGGAGGUAGUAAACAGMAAUAACGAUAGUUCAGCCUUCAUGGUUGACAUUCGGAAUGAGUACAAUCUAAAAACCUUAACGACCAUCCAGCGGUGGGCAAGCCUGGUGC
rnacentral:rRNA from 1 species